GACGAACGCUGGCGGCGUGCUUAACACAUGCGAGUCGAACGGAAAGGCCCUGCUUUUGUGGGGUGCUCGAGUGGCGAACGGGUGAGUAACACGUGAGUAACCUGCCCUUGACUUUGGGAUAACUUCAGGAAACUGGGGCUAAUACCGGAUAGGAGCUCCUGCUGCAUGGUGGGGGUUGGAAAGUUUCGGCGGUUGGGGAUGGACGCGCGGCUUAUCAGCUUGUUGGUGGGGUAGUGGCUUACCAAGGCUUUGACGGGUAGCCGGCCUGGGAGGGUGACCGGCCACAUUGGGACUGAGAUACGGCCCAGACUCCUACGGUAGGCAGCAGUGGGGAAUAUUGCACAAUGGGCGGAAGCCUGAUGCAGCAACGCCGCGUGCGGGAUGACGGCCUUCGGGUUGUAAACCGCUUUCGCCUGUGACGAAGCGUGAGUGACGGUAAUGGGUAAAGAAGCACCGGCUAACUACGUG
rnacentral:rRNA from 1 species